UACGUAGGGUGCGAGCGUUGUCCGGAAUUAUUGGGCGUAAAGAGCUCGUAGGCGGUCUGUCGCGUCGGAUGUGAAACCCCGGGGCUUAACCCUGGGCCUGCAUUCGAUACGGGCAGACUAGAGUUCGGUAGGGGAGACUGGAAUUCCUGGUGUAGCGGUGAAAUGCGCAGAUAUCAGGAGGAACACCGGUGGCGAAGGCGGGUCUCUAGGCCGAUACUGACGCUGAGACGCGAAAGCGUGGGGAGCAAACAGG
rnacentral:rRNA from 1 species